UCUCAAGAACAAGAAUUUCUGCUCAUAUUGGGACAUUCCUGUAUUCUAAAAAUUACCACAGAUGAAAUUAGGACAGAAGACCUCAGCUGCAGAGCCUCAGGGCAAAAAGCUUCCAGGUUCCCCCAU
rnacentral:lncRNA from 1 species